ensembl:lncRNA
GCCCACUUCCGCUCAUCAACCUUCCUGGAGGUGGGAGGGGGAAGUCGAGGAGCUCAACUUCCUCCUCCUCCUUCUCCUCCUCCUUCUCCUCCUCCUUCUCCUCUUCCUCCUCGUCUCCCCUCUUUCCCCCGCCUCCUUCCCCCGUUAUUCCUCACCCCCGUCCUUCUCUCCAACACCUUCCGGGUCGCAGGCGCCGAGGUGCCCUCUGGGUAACCAUCUCAUUUCCUCCCCUCCCCCUCCUUCUGCCCUCGACCAACCAGCCUCCCGUCAGGGAGGGACAUGCGCAGUGUGAACCUCCCAUCUCUUCUAACAGAACCCCCCUCCCCCCCAAACCAGAGAGACCCCAGCAGCAGCAGCAGCUGAUGAUGAAGAGAGAGGCAGAGGCUAAGGGGGGGCACCUUUUAUUUCUAUUUUUAAAGGGACAGGACACUAAUUUUACCCCACUUCAACCUUGAAUUGCGAAGGGGGGGAGGCGAUUGAGUUCCUUCCCCCACCCUCCACCCCUGAUCUCAGAGAGGGGAAUUGAGCCUGAGAGAGAAGGAGAGUUUCUUCUUCUUCUUCUAACCCCCCCCUUACCACUCCUGCCCCCCUCCUCUCUCUCCUCCACCCCCUCCACCCCCCUCUCUUUGGCCGUGAGAGGAGGAGAGAAAAGAGACCAAAAGCCUCUUAGCAACACAGCCCCUUCUCUGCUGCUGCUGCUAAAGCUGCUGCUAAAGCUGCUGCUGCUGCUAAAGCUGCUGCUGCUAUUGCUGCUCCUGCUGCUGCUGUUGCUUGGCCCUGGCUGGAGACAUCUCACUACACCCAGGAGCAGCCACUUCCCCCAGUUCUUCUCCUCCUCUCCUCCUCCUCCUCCUCUCCUCCUCCUCCACCUCCACUCCCCCCCUUUAUUACCCUUUGUGUCAUCCUCCACAGCUCCAGGGAAGGGACUCAAAAGUGGGGGGCAGGAAAGCUGCUUGAAAGAUUUUUGUCAUCACAAUUUUGAAGUCUGAAGAUAAUGUGCUUGGGAGCUCACAGAGAAUGUUACUUCCUGGGUGUAUGAAAAAGAUGUGGAAAAUUUUAUUGUUUAUAGACAAGAACUCUCAAAUUUAGCCAGUCAAGGUAGGUAAUAACUCUAGUUUUGUAAAUUAUUCCAUAAAAUUUUUAGACCU